rnacentral:misc_RNA from 1 species
GAUGAAGAACGUAGCGAAAUGCGAUACGUAGUGUGAAUUGCAGAAUUCAGUGAAUCAUCGAAUCUUUGAACGCACAUUGCGCCCUUUGGUAUUCCAAAGGGCAUGCCUGUUCGAGCGUCAUUUGUACCCUCAAGCUUUGCUUGGUGUUGGGCGUCUUGUCUCCAGUCCGCUGGAGACUCGCCUUAAAGUCAUUGGCAGCCGGCCUACUGGUUUCGGAGCGCAACACAAGUCGCACUCUUUUCCAGCCAAGGUCAGUGUCCAACAAGCCUUUUUUCAACUUUUGACCUCGGAUCAGGUAGGGAUACCCGCUGAACUUAAGCAUAUCAAUAAGCGGAGGA